UGGGAUGUGUCUCAGGGGCAGAGUGUAUGCUUGGCAUGCAUGAGGCCCUGGGUUCAAUCCCCAGUACUGCAA
rfam:Ictidomys tridecemlineatus contig040416, whole genome shotgun sequence.